AAAAUAAAAACAAAGCAAAAUCUAUCAACAAAAAAUAAAAAAUUAGCCUUCGUUAAAAAAUGGAGGCAAAUAAGCAUGUAUCAGUAUUUCUAAUGUGCAUGAUUGUAUUAUCAGUUUCCGAGGCUGCAACUUUCGACAGCUGCAACGAAAAUUGUCAAAGGGAUUGCACUUCGAAUGGCCAUGGCUCUACUUAUUGUGCAUUGAGAUGUGAAACUGAUUGUGGUUAUCAGGCGCUUAAAGGUGAAUUUGAGAGCCUCACGUCUUGAGCUGGACCAAGAUUGCAGGGAAUCACCCUAAAAGGAGAAAGGGGACAAUGAAGAAUAAAAUAGUGGAAUUUAUUUUUAAUUCAUUCAUUCAUUAAUUUCAUUUUCCACUACCAUUGUAUAAU